GACGAACGCUGGCGGCGUGCUUAACACAUGCAAGUCGAACGGAAAGGCCCUGCUUUUGUGGGGUGCUCGAGUGGCGAACGGGUGAGUAACACGUGAGUAACCUGCCCUUGACUUUGGGAUAACUUCAGGAAACUGGGGCGCAUACCGGAUAGGAGCUCCUGCUGCAUGGGGGGGGUUGGAAAGUUUCGGCGGUUGGGGCUGGUCUCGCGGCUUAUCAGCUUGUUGGGGGGGUAGUGGCUUACCAAGGCUUUGAAGGGUAGCCGGCCUGGGAGGGUGGCCGGCCACCUUGCGCCUACGAUACGCCCCAGUCUCCUACGGGAGGCAGCGGUGGGGAAUAUUGCACAAUGGGCGGACGCCUGAUGCGGCAGCGCCGCGUGCGGGAUGACGGCCUUCGGGUUGUAAACCGCUUUCGCCUGUGACGAAGCGUGAGUGACGGUAAUGGGUAAAAAAGCACCGGCUAACUACGUG
rnacentral:rRNA from 1 species